GGAUACCUGGAAACUACCGUUGGAUCGAAAAAUAGAUAUCUGAGAUUUGUCCACGUCAUCACGAGUAAAACGUUUACUCGCAUUCACUCAUGAGUAAAAAUUUUCCUAGGAGUAAAAUUUUUCGUUUUACUUAUGGUGUCGUGUACGAAUCUCGGAUGUCCAUUUUUCGAUCCAAUGGUAGUUUUUAUGUUUCC
rnacentral:pre_miRNA from 1 species